rnacentral:rRNA from 1 species
AUACGUAGGGUGCAAGCGUUAAUCGGAAUUACUGGGCGUAAAGCGUGCGCAGGCGGUUUUGUAAGACAGUGGUGAAAUCCCCGGGCUCAACCUGGGAACUGCCCUUGUGACUGCCAGGCUGGAGUGCGGCAGAGGGGGAUGGAAUUCCGCGUGGAGCAGUGAAAUGCGUAGAUAUGCGGAGGAACACCGAUGGCGAAGGCAAUCCCCUGGGCCUGCACUGACGCUCAGGCACGAAAGCGUGGGGAGCAAACAGGAUUAGAUACCCUGGUAGUCCACGCCCUAAACGAUGUCAACUGGUUGUUGGGGAUUUAUUUUCUCAGUAACGAAGCUAACGCGUGAAGUUGACCGCCUGGGGAGUACGGCCGCAAGGUUAAAACUCAAAUGAAUUGACGGGG